UGAACGCUGGCGGCGUGCCUAACACAUGCAAGUCGAGCGGAGAUGUUGAGAGAUCCUCGGGUGAUUCUUCAUCUAGCGGCGGAUGGGUGAGUAACACGUGGGUAACCUGCCCUGCACAGGGGGAUAACAGCUGGAAACGGCUGUUAAUACCGCAUAUGCACACGCUGCCGCAUGGCAGAGGGUGGAAAGAUUUAUCGGUGCAGGAUGGGCCCGCGUCGGAUUAACUAGUUGGCAGGGUAACGGCCUACCAAGGUGAUGAUCCGUAGCCGACCUGAGAGGGUGACCGGCCACAUUGGGACUGAGACACGGCCCAAACUCCUACGGGAGGCAGCAGUGGGGGAUAUUGCACAAUGGGCGAAAAAGCCUGAUGCAGCGACGCCGCGUGAAGGAAGAAGUAUUUCGGUAUGUAAACUUCUAUCAGCGGGGAAGAAGAUGACGGUACCCGACUAAGAAGCCCCGGCUAACUACGUGCCAGCCGCCGC
rnacentral:rRNA from 1 species